UACGUAGGGACCAAGCGUUGUCCGGAAUCAUUGGGCGUAAAGAGCGUGUAGGCGGCUUGUUAAGUCUUGCGUGAAAUCUCGGGGCUCAACCCCGAGCGGUCGUGAGAAACUGGCAGGCUAGAGUGCGGGAGAGGAGAGUGGAAUUUCUGGUGUAGCGGUGAAAUGCGCAGAUAUCAGGAAGAACACCCGUGGCGAAGGCGGCUCUCUGGAACGCAACUGACGCUGAGACGCGAAAGCGUGGGGAGCAAACAGG
rnacentral:rRNA from 1 species